GUGGGGAAUUUUGGACAAUGGGCGCAAGCCUGAUCCAGCCAUGCCGCGUGCAGGAUGAAGGCCUUCGGGUUGUAAACUGCUUUUGUACGGAACGAAAAGACUCUGGUUAAUACCUGGGGUCCAUGACGGUACCGUAAGAAUAAGCACCGGCUAACUACGUGCCAGCAGCCGCGGUAAUACGUAGGGUGAGAGCGUUAAUCGGAAUUACUGGGCGUAAAGCGUGCGCAGGCGGUUAUGUAAGACAGAUGUGAAAUCCCCGGGCUCAAGCUGGGAACUGCAUUUGUGACUGCAUAGCUAGAGUACGGCAGAGGGGGAUGGAAUUCCGCGUGUAGCAGUGAAAUGCGUAGAUAUGCGGAGGAACACCGAUGGCGAAGGCAAUCCCCUGGGCCUGUACUGACGCUCAUGCACGAAAGCGUGGGGAGCAAACAGGAUUAGAAACCCGGGUAGUCC
rnacentral:rRNA from 1 species